CCUACGGGUGACAGCAGUGAGGAAUAUUGGUCAAUGGGCGUAAGCCUGAACCAGCCAAGUCGCGUGAGGGAUGAAGGUUCUAUGGAUCGUAAACCUCUUUUAUAAGGGAAUAAAGUGCGGGACGUGUCCCGGUUUGUAUGUACCUUAUGAAUAAGGAUCGGCUAACUCCGUGCCAGCAGCCGCGGUAAUACGGAGGAUGCGAGCGUUAUCCGGAUUUAUUGGGUUUAAAGGGUGCGCAGGCGGAAGGUCAAGUCAGCGGUAAAAGUGAGAGGCUCAACCUCGUCGAGCCGUUGAAACUGGUAGUCUCGAGUGAGAGAGAAGUAUGCGGAAUGCGUGGUGUAGCGGUGAAAUGCAUAGAUAUCACGCAGAACUCCGAUUGCGAAGGCAGCAUGCCGGCGCUAAACUGACGCUGAUGCACGAAAGUGUGGGUAUCGAACAGGAUUAGAUACCCGAGUAGUC
rnacentral:rRNA from 1 species